rnacentral:rRNA from 1 species
CUCGACAACGGAUAUCUCGGCUCUCGCAUCGAUGAAGAACGUAGUGAAAUGCGAUACUUGGUGUGAAUUGCAGAAUCCCGUGAACCAUCGAGUUUUUGAACGCAAGUUGCGCCCAAAGGUUUCUUCCCAAGGGCACGUCUUCUUGGGCGUCACA